GAUGAAGAACGCAGCAAAAUGCGAUAAGUAAUGUGAAUUGCAGAAUUCAGUGAAUCAUCGAAUCUUUGAACGCACAUUGCGCCCGCUGGUAUUCCGGCGGGCAUGCCUGUUCGAGCGUCAUUUCAACCCUCAAGCCCCCGGGUUUGGUGUUGGGGAUCGGCUCUGCCCUUCUGGGCGGUGCCGCCCCGAAAUACAUUGGCGGUCUCGCUGCAGCCUCCAUUGCGUAGUAGCUAACACCUCGCAACUGGAACGCGGCGCGGCCAUGCCGUAAAACCCCAACUUCUGAAUGUUGACCUCGGAUCAGGUAGGAAUACCCGCUGAACUUAAGCAUAUCAAUAAGCGGAGGA
rnacentral:misc_RNA from 1 species